rnacentral:lncRNA from 1 species
GUAGCGAAGGGCUGGAGGCAAACACCGAGCUCCCCCUGAGCCGCUCGGGAACAGGGAGGGUUCUGCUACCCUGAGGGGCCCUCCCCGCGGGGCAGAGGGGACUAGCCCAACAUGGCUUCCAACACAGAGGAGACCAGAAGGACCCAAUAAGAGAUGGAAGACGCGACUGAGAAUACAGAAAGGAGGGUGGUGCUGUGUGGGAGGCAGAUACAGAUGGUGUUUCCAUAAGAGGAAGUGAUCAUGGCAACCAUGACCUUCUUUCUUCCAAGAGGCUGCUGGGAAGGUGGGAUGACCUAGGACUGACCUUGGACUUGGCAUCACAGAAGCCAUGUCAACCUUCACAGGUGGGGGGAAGUCACGACAUGUACUUCUGACUCUAUGCUUGCCUUGAGGAACAAUGGCAUGACACAGGGAUGUGGACGUUUUUCAACCAGAUGCUUCGGUACAGCAGUGUCGGCACACAAGGAGUGUUCCA